GCCGGAGUGGCGGAAUGGCAGACGCGCCGGAUUCAAAAUCCGGUUGGGGUAAUUCCCAGUGCGGGUUCGAGUCCCGCCUCCGGUA
rnacentral:tRNA from 1 species